GCCCGGCUCUGCCGGUUAGUGUUUGGGGCACUUUGGUCCUCCGACCCGCAGGUGGAGCUGUCGGUUGCUGCCGGUUAGUGUUUGGGGCACUUUGGUCCUCCGACCCGCAGGUGGAGCUGGUCUGUGAAGACGUGCAACAUCUCAGAGGGCUGCUGAUUGGGCGGCCUAUAAAAGGCCUCCCAUCAGCAUGCUCUCGCUCUCAUGCUCAUGCUCUCUCUCUUUCUCUCUCUCGUCCCACAGGCACAUUCGUUUGGUGACCGUAUGGUCACGGCAACGACGGCCGGGAUUAGCACCACACUAACACCCUUUUUGGACAACACUCAUUUACUGAUACAUUCCUUGGUUAAUUCACAUUACUGAUCACUGAUACAUGUUGUAAAUAAAAGAUCUGUUGGCUAAAAUGUACAAAUCGGUGUGGUCUCCCUUAAUGUUACAGCCACUAACAAGCCAGUGGUUGUGACAUAUGGGGGCUCGUCCGGGAUUUGGUAGUAACUUUAGGCUUUGGUAAUUCCUUCUACUGGCUAUGGCAGCGUAGGAAGGUGCGUAGAGCUCUUUGUAUUGAGUAUUCCUUCUACUGGCUUUUGGAGCGUAGGAAGGUGAGUAGAGCUGAGUUACUAAUUGUGUACUGCUGAUAGUCAGUUGGGGCCUGUUAUCAGUUAGUUAAUUGGGGGAUCUGCUGAUUUGUACUUUUGAGGCUUUGUUUGACCGUGCAAGUGUAGGUAGACACUGAAUUGUUUGUUCCAGCCAUCUUGGUUGAGUUUCAUUGCAGUUUGUAGCAUUGCAUUCAGCCUCUUAGGAGCUGUCGCCUUUAUCCCCAUCUAGUACGGGUUCUAGGUUCCUGCUGUCACAGAGCCUGGGCGAGGGCACCGCCUUGGAGAAACGGCUGAAUCGGCUUUGUCGGGAUGGUACGUCUCCACAGGUAUUGGUGAGUAAAUGAUCCUCGUCCUCGGGCUCUGUGUGAAAAUAGAUUAGUCUAGUGGGGGGAAAAUGUUUAGGGGGAUGCUCCGAGGUUAGUUUGCUGUGUUAACAUAACUGUAAUGUUUUAGAGACCUGGUUAGAUUGGUUGGAGAGAGAGAGCCUAGCGUAAUUAGAGCUAGUUUUUGGUUGGGUUGUUUUUUCAGUAGUUUCAUUGUUGGUUUGGUACAGUAGCCAGAUUGGUACUGACGGCCUGGGUUGAGCAGGAUGGAGGCUUUUGUGGAAGCACCAUCUGAGAAAUUGUUGUUUGCCCUUAAUAAGGAACAGUUGUUGCAAUUGGCAGAAAAGUAUGGCAUGGAAUUGUCAUCAGCCAUUAGAACUGGUAAGAAGGGACCCUUGCGUGACUCCAUUCACGAAUUUUUGUGUGAGCAGAGCAUUUUGCCUUCGGGAAAAGGUGGUGACGCUCAUGUGAAGGGUAUGUCAGAGCCUAUGCAGUCAGAGAGGGUAGGCAUACUGACUUUUGAGCAACAAAGAGAGAUGAAGGCACUUGAAUUUGAGUGGGCGCAACAGGCUAAGGAGAAAGAACGUCUUUUUGAACUGGAAAAAAUCAAAUUAGAACGAGGAUUGCAACAGCAAGCAGAUAUGGAGAGACUCAAAUUUGAAAAAGAAAUGGAUUUGAAAAAAGGUGAAAUGGACCUUACAGUACAGCUUGAGAAAAUUAAAAUUGAACAGGAUCGUUUGAAACUAAUGUCAGAAGGUAAGAUUAGUGGAAAUCUGUCCGGGUCAAGUAUGGAUAGCAUGGUAAAGUAUGUUCCAAAGUUUGACGAACGUGACCCAGACGUGUUUUUCUCACUGUUUGAACAGAUGGCCUCUGACAAAAAGUGGAGUGAAGAGGAUAGAACGGUGCUUUUGCAAACUGUACUAGUAGGACGCGCACGGGAGGCAUACUUGGCAUUAACACCUGUUGAUAGGCACAAGUAUGCUGAGGUGAAAAAAGCGGUCUUGAAAUGUUAUGAACUGAAUCCAGAAGCUUACAGACAACGUUUCAGAAACUGGCGUAAACGUGAUAAUCAGACCCAUGCUGAAGUGGCAAGAGAGUUGAGUACUUAUUUUAACCGGUGGCUCACUUCAGAGUCUGUCUCAACUUACGAAAAUUUGCGUGAUUUGUUGAUUUUGGAGCAGUUUAAGAACAUUGUACCAGAUCGAAUUGCAACCUACAUUAAUGAGCAAAAGGCAAAGUCAGUGGAGGAGGCAGCCUCGCUUGCUGAUACCUUUGUGUUGACUCAUAAACGUAAGCCUUACAGCUUUCCUCCACGGUAUAAUAGCCACCAACGUUAUGAUCCUGCUCGUUCUCCUCCACAACGUUCUCCUCCUCGUUAUGGUCGUAGUUCAAAUCGAUCCAAUUAUGGCAAUUCCAGUAAUGUUCCUAAAUUUGAUAAUGGAAGUAGCAAAUCUCGCCCAAGCCCGACGAAUAAAUGUCAUUACUGUUUGCAGGAGGGACAUUGGAAAAAGGACUGCCCGCUGUUGAAAGGCCGUAAAUCUAAUGCCAAGGUAGCUGGGUGUGUUUCUGUUGUGCAUCCAGUUGAUUUUGGCGUCUCUGAUUUAACACCGUUACCUCGUUUGGAAGUUCAUUGUGAGCAAGUGAUUGAAGAUGGUGCAUCUGUGUCAGACGAGCAGACGAAAUCAGUAGAGUCAGCUGGGUCUGAUUUCGCUCCAUUCAUUAGUGAUGGCUGGGUGUCAUUGGUUGGAGAGACACAAAAAGUUCCAGUUAAAAUCUUAAGAGACACUGGGGCAUCUGAGAGUUUCAUUUCUGGAGCAGUUUUGCCAUUUUCCACAGCAUCUGACACUGGGAAAUGUGUUUUGAUUAGAGGAAUAGGCAUGCAGUCAUUUUCUGUACCGUUGCACAAAAUUCACUUGUGUUCAGGAUUUGUGAAUGGGGAGGUGACUAUUGCUGUGAGACCGUCUCUGCCUAUGCAGGAUAUCAAUGUAAUUCUGGGGAACAAUUUGGGUGGGUGUUUAGUUUCUCCACCUCCAGUUGUUACACCUGUACCGCUAUCUGUAGAGGAGCCAGACGCGUGUUGUCAAGAAUUCCCAGAAGUGUUUACUGCUUGUGCUGUGACUAGGGCAAUGUCUCACACGCAGGCGCAAUCGUCGGAUGUGUCCAAAUCUGUGCCUUUUUUUGUUCCUGAGCUGCCCGAACCUCUGUCAUGUCAAGAUUUAAUUGAGGCACAAAAGAAUGAUCAGAGCUUUGAGAAAUAUUUUGCCUUAGCUUCUACUGAUCCAACGAUGGGUUACUUCAUUCAGAAUGGCGUUUUGCUGCAUACGUGGUUGCCAGGUGUUGAUCCUGAAGUGGCAGGUCAGGUGAUUCAAGUGAUGGUACCUGACAAAUACCGUGAUUUGAUUUUGAGAACAGCCCAUGGAGCAGAGUCUGGGCAUUUUGGAGUUAAGAAAACCUACCGACGUCUUUUGGAACAUUUUUACUGGCCACGGAUGAAACGCCAUGUAUCUAGAUUUGUCAAAGCAUGUCAUGUUUGCCAGGUUGCGAAACAGAGUACUCCCAUUAAACCUGCACCACUUCAACCUAUUCCGUCUGUUGGCACACCAUUUGAGCAUCUCAUUAUUGAUUGUGUAGGUCCACUACCCCCUUCGAAAUAUGGUUGUGUGUACCUCUUUACCAUCAUGUGCCAGGCCACUCGGUAUCCAGCAGCGUAUGCCUUGAGAACAAUUACCACAAGGUCAAUAUUGAAAUGUUUGUCUAAAUUCAUUUCUGUCUUUGGCAUUCCGAAGGUAAUUCAGAGCGACAGAGGGUCUAACUUUACCUCCAGAACAUUUGCUGCAGCGUUGAAGUCGAUGCAGGUGAAGCACAAUUUGAGCAGCGCGUAUCACGCACAGAGUCAGGGGGCAUUGGAGCGCUGGCAUGCCACGUUGAAGUCUCUCUUGCGCGCUUACUGUGUUGAGAUGCGGAGAGAUUGGGAGGAGGCGUUGCCAUGGCUCUUGUUGUCUGCGCGUGGUGUAGUUCAAGAAAGCACUGGUUUUAGUCCAAAUGACCUAGUCUUUGGCCACAAAGUCCGGACCUCACUGUCUGUUUUAAAUGCCAAUCUGGAUCUGCAGAACACUCCCGUCAGUUUCACUGAGUAUGUAGAUGGUUUUCGUCGUAGGCUGUUGCUUGCAUGGAAAGAGGCAACCGAGCAUUUGACUAAAGCUCAGGUGAAAAUAAAGCUGCGUUAUGACCGUAAAGCGAAGAUCAGAGUUUUCAAUCCAGGUGAUCAAGUUUUAGCUUUGCUGCCCAUUCCGGGGUCACCAUUUACAGCAAAAUACUCUGGUCCAUUUACGGUUAUGAGCCAAGUGUCAGAUCUCAAUUAUUUACUAUCAACUCCUGAUCGUAAACGAUCACAGCAACUGUGUCAUGUGAAUUUACUCAAGCCUUACCACUCUGCAGGUUCCGACAAGGCGGGUGGGAUUGCUGCGAGUCCAGUGGGUCUAGCCGUUGGGGUUGGGGAACCGCUCAACUGGCCGGAGGUGGCAGCUUGGGAUGAAGUGCGCGCACCUGAUGAUUCAGUGUUACACGGGCGCUUAGAUAAUACUCAGCAGUUAAAGGAGCUAGAUAGUCUCCUCGGUCAUUUAAGUGAGGUACAGCGUAAACAGUUGUCGGAUUUGAUUUUUGAGUUUUUGCCUUUGUUUUCCGACAGGUGGGAGCAGGUGCGGUCCUCCUGCAGGCUGAUGAUGAUGGAGUAGCCAGACCGGUUUGCUAUUUUUCAAAAAAAUUCAACAAAUACCAAUUUAAUUAUUCAGUGAUUGAAAAGGAAGCAUUAGCAUUGAUUUGGGCAUUGCAACACUUUGAAGUCUAUGUGGGAGGGGGUCUCCAUCCAAUUGUGGUCUACUCAGAUCACAACCCUCUCACUUUUCUACAGUCUUUCAAAGGGUCCACCAACCAGCGCCUGUUGCGCUGGGCACUGUUUCUGCAGCCAUUCCACCUGUUGAUCCGCCAUAUUCGCGGGGUGGAAAAUGUAAUGGCUGAUGCGCUCUCUCGGGCUCUGGACCAGGAGGUCUAAUCAUCUCCACUCACUCCUAACCUGCGGUUUUUCUCUGUUUCCCUUAAAGGUCGCUGUCCGGGUACCAGGAUUUGCUGGGUGCAGGGAAGGUCGGAGGGUAAGGAGGGUGUUUGGGAUGGUUUGGGUUCUGGUUGGUCUGGGGUGGAGGGGAGGUGCGUCAUUGGGACUAGAAUAUAGCUACUGGGGCUACUGUAGGUUUUGGUUUUCUAUUUUUUGAUGGUGCUUCAGAGACCCAGUUAACACGGGUCUCUGUUUUUAAGGGGGGGGAUGUCAUGCCCGGCUCUGCCGGUUAGUGUUUGGGGCACUUUGGUCCUCCGACCCGCAGGUGGAGCUGUCGGUUGCUGCCGGUUAGUGUUUGGGGCACUUUGGUCCUCCGACCCGCAGGCACAUUCGUUUGGUGACCGUAUGGUCACGGCAACGACGGCCGGGAUUAGCACCACACUAACACCCUUUUUGGACAACACUCAUUUACUGAUACAUUCCUUGGUUAAUUCACAUUACUGAUCACUGAUACAUGUUGUAAAUAAAAGAUCUGUUGGCUAAAAUGUACAAAUCGGUGUGGUCUCCCUUAAUGUU